rnacentral:rRNA from 1 species
UACGUAGGGUGCGAGCGUUAAUCGGAUUUACUGGGCGUAAAGCGUGCGCAGGCGGCCCGUUAAGACAGGUGUGAAAUCCCUGGGCUCAACCUAGGAAUUGCGCUUGUGACUGGCGGGCUCGAGUACGGUAGAGGGGGGUAGAAUUCCUGGUGUAGCAGUGAAAUGCGUAGAGAUCAGGAGGAACACCGAUGGCGAAGGCAGCCCCCUGGGCCUGUACUGACGCUCAUGCACGAAAGCGUGGGGAGCAAACAGG